UCUAUAACAAACAGAAAAAAAGAUUUCGCUGAAACGUCUAAAAAGAUAGAGCAUGUAGGUUUGAAAAUAUUAUCAUUUUUGUUGGACCAUCAAAAUAAUUAUGUAGGGCGCUCAAGUAUAAUGAGCAAUGCUGCAAAAAGUUUUGACAUUCUAACCGGCAGCUUGGGCGUCCUACACAAUUAUUUUGAUAGUCCAACAAAAAAAGUUAUUUUCAGACCCAGCUAAAUUUUUUUCAUCAGCAAAAAACCGUUCUUUUCACAUGGAAACUUCUUUCAUCAUUACAACAAGAGGAAUAUGGUACUCAAAUUAAAAAAAAAAGUUUAAUUCUAUUUCGAGAUAUAGAUCUUUUCUGUAAUCGAAUUAGCACGGUCAUAAAGAUUCAAUCUGCUCAAUUUUAUUUAUAUUACGUUUUUCUCCGACGAUAUUGAGUUUCGAUUUUAGUUCUCGAUUUCCACGAGCGUCUGUCACUCCGAGUUCAGUCACGGCUCUCGAAAUGAGUUUCCGCGAGAAGCUCUCUUGCAUUCUCCGUUUUCCGGAUUUCUAGACGUGCCUUGUCGGCGACGACGGGGCAAUGUCGCGCCUUGGGACCUCGGCGCGUAAUCGUAAUUAACGAGGCAAAAAUGGAGGCACGGCGGCGGCGCGGGCGACGCGACGCGGUUGCACCAAGUGAAAACUCAUAUUUACCGGUUAGCGGAGCUGAGACGUCUCCGCGCGGCGUAAUGCCGGUGGCAUUACGUGAUGCGCCGGGAAUACUCUUGCCCGCCAUCACGGUGGAAAUAAGCCGCGCCUAGCCACGGGAAUAUGUGUCGCGCGAACAAACGAGAGAGAGUCCUGAUAAAAAUAAACGGCCGUGCAUACUCGCACCUCUGUUCGAACGAGAUGCAGGUCGCAUAACAGGGCAACAGGCCUAUUCCGUAGUUCCGACGACAGUUUGGUAUCGUUUUUUUGGGCUCUUAUUACAUUUAAUAAUGUCUGCACAACACGCUAUAACGAGAUCGACGCUAUCGUUAAAAGUUGCAGAACUUUAAUGCUAGUUUGAGUAUUAUCUUUGGAUUAUCCGACUGUCAUGUGUAACUCUUUCGUCAUCGAUAUUUAUUUAUUUUCUACUGUUUCUUAAUAAAAUUGGAGAUGUCAAUAAUUAAUAAUAAUUUAAUAAUGAUUAAUUAUUAAAUUAAUAAUUAGUAUGUAAUAAAUAAUAAAAAUUGUAGAAAUAAUUUGCUUAAUUUAAUGUAAAAUAUAUGGCCGAGUAAAUGACGAACGGCAUAUUUUUCGUUUCAAUUAAAUAAAACGUAUGGAAUUUAUUAUGAAGUAAAAAUAUUUCAAGAGAAAAUGUAAUGUUAUGAAGUUAAAAUAUUGCAAAUGGAAUUUAUAUUUUACAUAUGAUUGGAAUGAAUAUUGGUUCACUUCAAUGUAUUUUUAAAAAAUUCUCUCAUAAACCGUUUUCAAGAGUCAAAAAAAAUUGUUUGAGUUCGAUAAUUCUUGCAUAAAAUAAAACUUUUAUAAUCAGCAAUAUUAAAAAAAAAAGAUAUUUACGUAUAACAUGUAGUCAAAUAUUUUUAUUAUAGCAUUCUAUUGUAAUAAUAAAAAGAAUGUACAUGACAUACAAAGAUGUUACACAUGUUAUAUACAUUUAUUCCUUUUAUCAAUGGAAAAGUUUACGCGAUUGAGAAGCAUUUCUAACGUAACGAAAAUUCAAUCCGAAAGAAAGAACGCACAAAAGUUUAGCGGGGUUAAAGGACGGAGCGGAGGGAUGGGGAGGAGAAAAUGGAGAGAGGGCGAAAGGGACAAGAGGAUCGAUAGACAUUAACGGUGGACGGAUUGGGAGGAAUAAAAUAAAAAUUAUAAGCCCGAGUAAUCCUCUUCCGGUGCAUUCUCGUUAAUGACAAAAUUUCCAGUCCGUACUACCUACGCGCUUUUAACAAGUUCGCGCUCGCUCCGUAAGAGAAAAGUAAUACAAUAUUUUCCGCGUCGCCUAAGAGGAGGGGGAGGAGGCACUGAUACUCACCCCCGCCUCGUCCCCCUCGCUCGUGUUUUCCUUUCUUUCUUUUUCUCUUUUCCUUCCCCCCCCCCCUCCUCCUCCUUUUCUCUAUCCUUCUCUUGGAUGGACAAUUAAAAGCUCGGAACAGUGCGCGAGGGAUAAUUGCUCUUCGUUUCGAUGCGAAAGCGAGGAUUUCUAGCGGGGAGUCCCGGACAAUAAAGCCCGAGCCGUAGCUGCGUGACAAGGGGACGAUGCGAUUGUGCCGGAGCGACAACCCGGUAUGUCGAACGACCAAAUGGAUUUUACGUGUACACGAAAAAUAGAGGUUCGGCCCGGGGUGGCAUUGUGCUCGAUAUAACUCUCGCCGGCAGAGGAGACAGAGAGAGGAGUCACACGCGGAGAGCGGAGCGCGCGACCUGCAUGUUGUACGCGCGUUACACCUACAUUUACACCGCGCCGCCUGGUAAUCCACCCCGCCCGUGACAGCGCCGUGUCGUGCGCGGCACAAGCGCUUUCGCAUCGACUCGCUCCUCGACAUCCUACCGCAGGACAGAACGUCGGUGGACGUCCCGUGGACAUGGAUCGACCGUACUGCGAAUUUAAAGCGCGGAAGACAAGAGGGAGUUAAUUUCGCGCGGCGUCGAGCCGCGCGAUGCGGCGCCAUCGUGGAGAACCGGACGGGGAACAUGAGACGGGGCCGUGGCAUCGCAAUGUGUCUUUCGGCCAGUCGGCAAGCCCUCGCCCUCGCCCUCGCCCGAGGGUAAUUGCGUUUGUGUGUAGCCAGGAAGUUUUAUUUGGCUGGCAUUUAUUCGGCAACGAAGAGACAGCCGGCCCACUUAGGCGGGGAGACAAAUGUAUUUACGUCGUGAAUCUGCCAGGAUGCCCGCAUCCACCUUUCAAGCUUACCCCGUUUAUCCGGGGGAUUGCCACGAAAUUAAGGGGCCCGUGCUCCUCCCUCCUCGACUAUUUUUGUGGCCGGGAAAAGAAGAAGACGACGACGACGAGCCGCGCUCGUUUUCUCCACGGCGACGGCGGAUCGAAUAAUCGAACACUCGGUGGUAUUAGUGUGAACAACCGAGGUAAUAGAUAAAUUCCGGGUAGGUAGUGACUACAGCCGGCUAUACAGUCGAGACUACGGACAACACGUUUUCUUUCAAAUUCCAUUAUGUUCCCGACUUCAAUUAAUUGAUUCUUUCUCGGUGGAAAGAAACAAAUGACUCGGAGAGUGCAGCAUGUUACGUUGCCUCGCUUUAAAUUUUCUAUCUCGAAUUUGUUAGUAAAUACGUUCCUGAAGAUUGAUACGGAACUUUGCGAAACAUCCCGUGUUUUUAAAAAUUGAUUGUUGAGAGAGAGAGAGAGAGAGAGAGAGAGAGAGAGAGAGAGAGAGAGAGAGAGAGAGUUGAGAGAAAUUAAAGGAGAGCAUUCCGAGCAUUUUUGCUUUUUCCGGGUAAAUGGCCUGUGUCUGACUAAGUAUUAUUUCGUUCCUCUCUCUGCUUAGGUUAUUUAUAGCCUCAUAAGUUGUAUCUGGCGCGCAUAUCUUCGUAUCGUUUAACGACGGAGAUGGUUGGCAUACUUUCCGCAUCGUUCAAAAUAUCUAGACGUAGAAAACUGGCCGUGAGAAUUAUGGAACGCGCAAGAGUUGAACCGUACAGCCAUUGUAGAAAAAUAAUACGAGUAAUAAAUAAUCCAGUAACUUUCCAGGUGUAAAGAUA